ensembl:snRNA U6 U6 spliceosomal RNA
GUGCUAGCUUCGGCAGCAUAUAUACUAAAAUUGGAACGAUACAGAGAUUAGCAUGGCCCCUGUGCAAGGAUGACACACAAAUUUGUGAAGCAUUCCAUAUUUUU